GGGGACGUAGCUCAGUCCGGGAGAGCGCCUGGAUCGCACCCAGGAGGUCGUGGGUUCGAUUCCCAUCGUCUCCACCA
rnacentral:tRNA from 1 species